rnacentral:rRNA from 1 species
UACGUAGGGGGCUAGCGUUGUCCGGAAUCAUUGGGCGUAAAGAGCGUGUAGGCGGUCCGGUAAGUCCGUUGUGAAAGUCAGGGGCUCAACCCUUGAAUGCCGGCGGAUACUGUCGGGCUAGAGUCCGGAAGAGGCAAGUGGAAUUCCCGGUGUAGCGGUGGAAUGCGCAGAUAUCAGGAGGAACACCAAUGGCGAAGGCAGCUCGCUGGGACGUGACUGACGCUGAGACGCGAAAGCGUGGGGAGCAAACAGG